UGGGGAAUAUUGCACAAUGGGCGCAAGCCUGAUGCAGCAACGCCGCGUGAGGGACGACGGCCUUCGGUUGUAAACCUCUUUUAGUAGGGAAGAAGCGAAAGUGACGGUACCUGCAGAAAAAGCAACCGGCUAACUACGUGCCAGCAGCCGCGGUAAUACGUAGGGUGCGAGCGUUGUCCGGAACUAUUGGGCGUAAAGAGCUCGUAGGCGGUCUGUCGCGUCUGCUGUGAAAACCCGAGGCUCAACCUCGGGCCUGCAGUGGGUACGGGCAGACUAGAGUGCGGUAGGGGAGAAUGGAAUUCCUGGUGUAGCGGUGGAAUGCGCAGAUAUCAGGAGGAACACCGAUGGCGAAGGCAGUUCUCUGGGCCGUAACUGACGCUGAGGAGCGAAAGCGUGGGGAGCGAACAGGAUUAGAUACCCUGGUAGUCCACGCCGUAAACGUUGGGCGCUAGAUGUGGGGACCAUUCCACGGUUUCCGUGUCGCAGCUAACGCAUUAAGCGCCCCGCCUGGGGAGUACGGCCGCAA
rnacentral:rRNA from 1 species